GUACGCUGGCGGCACGCCUAACACAUGCAAGUCGAACGAAGUAGCAAUACUUAGUGGCAGACGGGUGAGUAACAUGUAGGUAUCUGCCCUUUGGCCUGGAAUAACACGAGGAAACUUGUGCUAAUACCGGAUAAGUCUUUACGGAGAAAGCUUUAUGCACCAUUGGAUGAGCCUGCACUUGAUUAGUUUGUUGGUGGGGUAAUGGCCUACCAAGACUGUGAUCAAUAGCUGAUUUGAGAGGAUGAUCAGCCACAUUGGGACUGAGACACGGCCCAAACUCCUACGGGAGGCAGCAGUGGGGAAUCUUGCACAAUGGAGGAAACUCUGAUGCAGCGAUGCCGCGUGAGUGAAGAAGGCCCUUGGGUUGUAAAGCUCUUUCGUCGGGGAAGAAAAUGACUGUACCCGAAUAAGAAGGUCCGGC
rnacentral:rRNA from 1 species